rnacentral:rRNA from 1 species
UACGUAGGGUGCGAGCGUUGUCCGGAAUUACUGGGCGUAAAGAGCUCGUAGGUGGUUUGUCGCGUUGGUCGUGAAAACCGGGGGCUUAACCCUCGGCGUGCGGGCGAUACGGGCAGACUGGAGUACUGCAGGGGAGACUGGAAUUCCUGGUGUAGCGGUGGAAUGCGCAGAUAUCAGGAGGAACACCGGUGGCGAAGGCGGGUCUCUGGGCCGUUACUGACGCUGAGGAGCGAAAGCGUGGGGAGCGAACAGG